rnacentral:rRNA from 1 species
UUCAACGGCCGCGGUACUCUGACCGUGCAAAGGUAGCGUAAUCACUUGUCUCUUAAAUAGAGACUAGUAUGAAUGGCAUCACGAGGACUAAACUGUCUCCCUCCCCUAAUCAGUGAAACUGAUCUCCCCGUGCAGAAGCGAGGAUAAGCCUAUAAGACGAGAAGACCCUGUGGAGCUUAAAAUCAAAAACCAACUGCUUAAUUACACCUACUCUAAAGGAAGCACUUUCGCAGAUCUGGUAAAGAUUUUUAGCUGGGGCGGCUAUGGAGAAAAAACUAUCCUCCAUGAAUACUUUGCUAAGGGCUACUGCUCUAAGCAUUAAUAACUUAACUUAAAUUGACCCUUUUUGAUCAACGGACCAAGUUACCCCAGGGAUAACAGCGCAAUCCACUUCUAGAGUUCAUAUCGACAAGUGGGCUUACGACCUCGAUGUUGGAUCAGGGCACCCCAGUGGUGCAGCCGCUACUAAAGGUUCGUUUGUUCAACGAUUAAAG